UACGUAGGGUGCAAGCGUUAAUCGGAAUUACUGGGCGUAAAGCGUGCGCAGGCGGUUUUGUAAGUCUGUCGUGAAAGCCCCGGGCUCAACCUGGGAAUUGCGAUGGAGACUGCAAGGCUUGAAUCUGGCAGAGGGGGGUAGAAUUCCACGUGUAGCAGGUGAAAAUGCGUAGAGAUGUGGAGGAACACCGAUGGCGAAGGCAGCCUCCUGGGCCAGCACUGACGCUCAUGCACGAAAGCGUGGGGAGCAACAG
rnacentral:rRNA from 1 species